rnacentral:rRNA from 1 species
AGAGUUUGAUCAUGGCUCAGAACGAACGCUGGCGGCAUGCCUAACACAUGCAAGUCGAACGAGAUCUUCGGGUCUAGUGGCGCACGGGUGCGUAACGCGUGGGAAUCUGCCCUCAGGUUCGGAAUAACCAUUGGAAACGAUGGCUAAUACCGGAUGAUGACGUUAAGUCCAAAGAUUUAUCGCCUGAGGAUGAGCCCGCGUAGGAUUAGCUAGUUGGUGUGGUAAAGGCGCACCAAGGCGACGAUCCUUAGCUGGUCUGAGAGGAUGAUCAGCCACACUGGGACUGAGACACGGCCCAGACUCCUACGGGAGGCAGCAGUGGGGAAUAUUGGACAAUGGGCGCAAGCCUGAUCCAGCAAUGCCGCGUGAGUGAUGAAGGCCUUAGGGUUGUAAAGCUCUUUUACCCGGGAUGAUAAUGACAGUACCGGGAGAAUAAGCUCCGGCUAACUCCGUGCCAGCAGCCGCGGUAAUACGGAGGGAGCUAGCGUUGUUCGGAAUUA